AUACUUACCUGGCAGGGGAGAUAUGAUUACGAAGGUGGUUUCCCCAGGGUGAGGCUCACUCAUUGCACUCAGGGUGUGCUGACUCCUGUGGUUUCCCCAAAUGUGGGAAACUUGACUGCAUAAUUUGUGGUAGUGGGGGACUGCAUUUAUGCUCUCCCCUG